AUUGAACGCUGGCGGCAUGCCUUACAUGCAAGUCGAACGGCAGCACGGGUGCUUGCACCUGGUGGCGAGUGGCGAACGGGUGAGUAAUACAUCGGAACAUGUCCUGUAGUGGGGGAUAGCCCGGCGAAAGCCGGAUUAAUACCGCAUACGAUCUACGGAUGAAAGCGGGGGACCUUCGGGCCUCGCGCUAUAGGGUUGGCCGAUGGCUGAUUAGCUAGUUGGUGGGGUAAAGGCCUACCAAGGCGACGAUCAGUAGCUGGUCUGAGAGGACGACCAGCCACACUGGGACUGAGACACGGCCCAGACUCCUACGGGAGGCAGCAGUGGGGAAUUUUGGACAAUGGGCGAAAGCCUGAUCCAGCAAUGCCGCGUGUGUGAAGAAGGCCUUCGGGUUGUAAAGCACUUUUGUCCGGAAAGAAAUCCUUGGCCCUAAUACGGUCGGGGGAUGACGGUACCGGAAGAAUAAGCACCGGCUAACUACGUG
rnacentral:rRNA from 1 species